rfam:Streptomyces albus subsp. albus strain NRRL B-2513 B2513contig75.1, whole genome shotgun sequence.
CUUGACGGCGCCCAGCCACAGCGGCCGCGCUGCCGGCCGGUCCUGACCGUAGGCGGCCAGCAGGGCCUGCGCCUC